GACAGAGGGUGCAAACGUUGCUCGGAAUUACUGGGCGUAAAGCGCGCGCAGGCGGUCUUCCAAGUCAGUGGUGAAAGCCCGGAGCUCAACUCCGGAACUGCCAUUGAAACUGUUAGACUUGAGGAUGAGAGAGGUGAGUGGAAUUCCCAGUGUAGAGGUGAAAUUCGUAGAUAUUGGGAAGAACACCGGUGGCGAAGGCGGCUCACUGGCUCAUUUCUGACGCUCAGGCGCGACAGCGUGGGGAUCAAACAGG
rnacentral:rRNA from 1 species